rnacentral:sRNA from 1 species
AGCCUGGGUUUGCCCGCGCUCGGCGACGUGGCGGCCUGGCCAAGCUCGGCGCCGCUCACCAGCGCUGACCUGGGGGUGGUUUGACCUCCCAGUGCCUCAGUUUCUUCAUAGGAGGGCGUGAAGACAGAGAAUGACCACAUCAACCUGAAGGUGGCCGGGCAGGACGGCUCCGUGGUGCAGUUCAAGAUCAAGAGGCACACGCCGCUGAGCAAGCUGAUGAAGGCCUACUGCGAGAGGCAGGGCUUGUCAAUGAGACAGAUUAGAUUCAGGUUCGACGGGCAGCCAAUUAAUGAAACUGACACUCCAGCACAGCUGGAGAUGGAGGACGAGGACACCAUCGACGUGUUCCAGCAGCAGACAGGAGGUGCGCCGGAGAGCAGCCUGGCAGGGCACAGUUUCUAGGGGGCCUGUCCCCAUCCCAGGCCGUCCGUCCUUGCUUUGCUGUUGAAUGGUGAGCACGUGACCAUGCCGACCACAAAGGCGUCUGCGGAAACUCGAGGACAUUCACCACAAUGAUUUUCCUCUCUUUGAUGUACUUCAAGUGCAACUCAAAACUAUAUCUGCAGGGAUGAAUCUGUAACUUAAAUUGGGCCAAUCAGAAUUGUUAUCUUUGUUCAGGUAAAAUGAGUUGCAAGAUAUUUUGGGUUUUUUUGUGUGCUCAUUUGUGUUUUUCCCCCCCUCCUAAAACAUUUUUUUAACCCCAAAAUUAUAGCCUGAAUGUUCGCUUUUAGUCUGGCCAGGGAUCUGACUCCUGAGUUGGUUGCCUCUCCCCUGCUCACUCCAGUCACAUAGAGAAUUGGUGUUUCCUGCAGUGGGGAUGCAGCUGUUGGACAGGUAUUGGGGGCAAGGUUGGUAGGGAGGGCAGACUGUCACUUGCUGUUACAGGCACAGGUGAUUAAAAUGCUAAAUAUUGCAAAUUUAAGCUUUGUCAGUAUAUGGAAAAGUUGAAGGGAAAAUACUGGAAUGCUUCUUCGAAGGUUAAAAAAUAACCGAGUCUUUUGGUAAUUUGACCCCACAUGCUCUCUGGCCCUCAAGCAUGUAACCUUGGGGUCUGAGGCCCAGGACCCACCCCCCUGCCACCCCUCCCACCCCACUCCCUGCUCAGUACCUGGCGUUGGUACACAGGCAAGGAUUGGCACAACCAAAAUUGGCCUUUUUCUCCCUCUUAAUAUUGAAGAAAUUCCCACAUUUCUCAUUUGGUAAUGGUGUUGUGGCCUCAGAUUUCUUCUAGUAUUUGCUUCUGAUGAAUAAUUAUGGUCUAUACAUAAAAAACUAAGAUUAAGUAUUGCUGAAUUUGCAGUUAACGUUGUCGUAUAUACGAGCUACUUCCAAGUGUGGUUACAAAUGAACCCAUGGAAUGAUGACUUCAUGUUCUUCUCGUGGGUUUGUGCCGUGCUGCUUUCCAAAUAUGUAUUGAAUUUAUGCAUUAGUCUGGUGAUUUCAGUUCUGUGAAAUAUUUUGGGAUCUAUACCAAUUAAACAUUUUCAUAGUUCUGCCUAUUGUCCUUCCCUGAGGCUCCAUUGCUGCUUGGUGGCCAUUCUCUGCCUUUUUAUAGUCACCUGAACAACGACCCAUCAUCUCUUGCUUGCUUGAAAUCUUGCUGAAAUGUUCUCAUUUCCUGUUUGCUGUAUGGGCUCGGGUGGGAUGUUUGUUGGCUCUGUUGUGUUUAUUCACCAAUUUGUACAUUAUUUGUUGUCCUUUACUACUGUAAACAGUAAAUAUAGUUUGGUAUUCUGUC